GUGAAGAGAAGAUCUCUGAACGACUGCGCGAGAUCUCAGAAAAACUAAAGGAAAUGUUUGAAGGCAAGAAACCUAAACAACAACCGCAACUGCGUGCUGAUGUCACAAAAGAGAGAUAAUGAGACCAGAAGAGGAGAAAGAUGAAUGGGAAGCGUCCAUUUAUGUUGAAGAUACUGCCAUAAGUCUAGCGAGGGGACGGACACAUGGUGGGAGUUUCAAACUAAAGGAAGGGAAGAAUGUUGUAAUCAUAAAUGAAAAUGCUGGGGUUUGUGCACAUGGU